UACGAAGGUGGCGAGCGUUACUCGGAAUUACUAGGCGUAAAGCGUAUGUAGGUGGUUGAAUAAGUCUAUGGUGAAAUUUCCUGGCUCAACUGGGAAGGGUACAUAGAUACUGUUCGGCUUGAGUGUGUGAGGGGGAGACGGAAUUCCUGGUGUAGCGGUGAAAUGCGUAGAUAUCAGGAGGAACACCGAUGGCGAAAGCAGUCUCCUGGCACAAUACUGACACUGAGGUACGAAAGCUAGGGUAGCAAAC
rnacentral:rRNA from 1 species